GAAAUCAUUCUUCACAGGAUCUAUUCUGUAGUAUGUUUUAUACUUGUUGUGGCAAAGCCAAUCACAUCAAGGCGGUGAAGAUUAGAUACGGAUUCGCUUCUGAUCGUGGAGAUGCGAUUCAGUCUCCCUCGUAAAGUUGAAUGCUUGAUUUGGAGAGCUUUUUGCUCUCCUAUGGAGGGAAGGCGUUAUGA
rnacentral:snoRNA from 1 species